GACGAACGCUGGUGGCGUGCUUAACACAUGCAAGUCGAACGAUGAAGCUAGAGCUUGCUCUGGUGGAUUAGUGGCGAACGGGUGAGUAACACGUGAGUAACCUGCCCCGAACUCUGGGAUAACUGCUGGAAACGGUAGCUAAUACCGGAUAUGACCAAUGAAGGCAUCUUCUGUUGGUGGAAAGAAUUUCGGUCAAGGAUGGACUCGCGGCCUAUCAGCUAGUUGGUGAGGUAACGGCUCACCAAGGCGACGACGGGUAGCCGGCCUGGGAGGGUGACCGGCCACACUGGGACUGAGACACGGCCCAGACUCCUACGGGAGGCAGCAGUGGGGAAUAUUGCACAAUGGGCGCAAGCCUGAUGCAGCAACGCCGCGUGAGGGAUGACGGCCUUCGGGUUGUAAACCUCUUUUAGUAGGGAAGAAGCGAAAGUGACGGUACCUGCAGAAAAAGCACCGGCUAACUACGUGCCAGCAGCCGCGGUA
rnacentral:rRNA from 1 species